GUCGACUCCUGCUACAGCGGGGUCGGCCCUCUCAGGAAUCACAGAACCUUGUAUUUCAGCUGUUUUUCACUAGGGUCGACUCAAGCUACAGUGGGGUCGACUCAAGCUACAGUGGGGUCGACUCAAGUUCUAUUGGGGUCGACCCUCUCAGGGAUUCUAGAGAGUUUUGAACGACAUAGCCUUGGGGCCGACUCAUGUUCAUUUGGGGUCGACUUAAGCAUUCUUGGGGUCGGCUCAAGAAAAGUUGGGGUCGGCCCUCUCAGUAAAUUCUAGAGACUUGUUUUCUUAAGGCUUGAAGCUGGGGUCGACUCAAGGUUCUUUGGGGUCGACUUCGCUCCUGGGGUCGGCUCAAGCAUACUUGGGGUUGACUCCACUACUGUUCAUCCGUGCCAUUUUUGCAGAGGUGUGCCUGAUGGUUCAUGAUGUGCCAGGGUCGACUCCACCUAUGUUGGGGUCGACUCAUUCCACACUUUGCUGUAUCUUAAGGUUAGACUUAUCCAUACAAUUAAUGAAAUAUAUUUCAAGCAAUUUUGAAUGUAUGCCAUGGUAGUGCUACAUACUCUUAACAAUUAAAAUUACUAUUUUGCCCUUAAGAGUACAUUUCACUUGAAACUUUGCUGAAUUAGAAUUUAGAAUUCUCUAUCCCUUUUUUAUUGCAAAUUUUAUCUCAUUAUUAAUCAUUGAAAGAAAUCUUGAUCUCAUUCUUCUAAUGUAUCGAGAGAGUCGAACUCAGUAGUGAUGUAUCACGUUAACUUGUAGUACUAAUUAGAUAUUUCCUCAAUGGUUGUGUUAAUCAUCAAAAUAACACUAUCAUCCUCAAUCUCCUACUUUUUGAUGAUUACAAAAUAUUAAGUAUGAGUAGAUUGAUACUUAUAAAAUUAGAAGAUUUGUUUUAGAAGAGCUCAGGUUGCUGAAUUUCAGCUUUUCAAUUUUGAAAGUGAAGACUCUUCCUUUUUCAUCCAAAUAUUGCCAAUUAGAACUUUUGAUUUUCUCCCCUUUUUUUUUAUAUUUGGUUAAGGAUGAAACUUCAAAAAUUUGAGAUAAAGCAAGAGUUUCAGGUUAUGUAUCGAGGCAUGAGAGGUAUGUGCCAAAUUCAGAAAUUUUGAUUAAAAAUUUAGACUUUCUUGUUUUUUUUUUUAAAUUUUCAUUGUCACAUAUUGCUCCCCCUUAAGUGAAUAUUAUCUCUUACUAUAAUUUUAAAACUUAUUUGUCCCUUUAUAUUGCAAUUUCUUUCUUUUCUUACUUCUCCCUCUUUUUGAUAUCAUCAAACCAGUGUACAGCAAUAGAUGAGUAGAAGCAGUAAAAGAUAAAAAUUCAAACUUCAUUGAUCAAAAUGGAAUAUUGUAGUACAUUAAUGCCAAAAGUACAAUGUUCUUCAAUUAAGGUGCAAAAUACAUCAACCAAGUAAAAUGCAUAUAACCAUAAUGACCAAAUCUCGCUCAGAUAUGUGAUCAAAUCUCCCACUUUUCGGCAACAAAAUCCGACCUAUGAAGUUGUGCAACAACCUCAUCUUAGCUGAUAGAGAGCUAGCUAUCAUAUUUUCGGAGUAGUCAAAAUCAUUUCUCUCAAAGAUCAACUGUAGAGCUCUCAACUUGCUUUCCGGUCUUUCUGGAGUUGCACCUUCGCAGGGAAGAUGAAGCAACUUACUCAAACUUUCUUUUGAAAUCCUAACCCAUACUUCUCGGAUCUCAGACACAA
rnacentral:lncRNA from 1 species